AGUGAACGCUGGCGGUAGGCCUAACACAUGCAAGUCGAACGGCAGCACAGUAAGAGCUUGCUCUUACGGGUGGCGAGUGGCGGACGGGUGAGGAAUACAUCGGAAUCUACUUUUUCGUGGGGUAUAACGUAGGGAAACUUACGCUAAUACCGCAUACGACCUACGGGUGAAAGCAGGGGAUCUUCGGACCUUGCGCGAUUGAAUGAGCCGAUGUCGGAUUAGCUAGUUGGCGGGGUAAAGGCCCACCAAGGCGACGAUCCGUAGCUGGUCUGAGAGGAUGAUCAGCCACACUGGAACUGAGACACGGUCCAGACUCCUACGGGAGGCAGCAGUGGGGAAUAUUGGACAAUGGGCGCAAGCCUGAUCCAGCCGUACCGCGUGGGUGAAGAAGGCCUUCGGGUUGUAAAGCCCUUUUGUUGGGAAAGAAAAGCAGCAGGUUAAUACCCCGCUGUUCUGACGGUACCCAAAGAAUAAGCACCGGCUAACUUCGUG
rnacentral:rRNA from 1 species